ACAGUUCAGAAAUGUGUUUUCCCUGGCUUGCUGCUGGGAGAACAUGUCUGUCUGUCUGAACAGCCCGAGGCUUACAAUGCUAUUGGACACUGGCCUAGGAAUCGACCUGUCACAUGCCAGCAAUGUGGCCGGUGCAUUUUCCUCCUUUGCAAGAAAUUUCAGAGCUCAAAAAUGCUACCUAGUCCUAUCCCAGCCCAUAGACCACCAUACAGUGGAUCCUGCCAACUACAAGACUGUAGGGAUGGGUGCCCUCCAGCUUCAGGGUCAUCUGGUGUGAUCCAUCAUGAUAAGGUGUCUCCUUCAUAAACCUCAUCUCCAGAGGUUUGAUGCCUACCACCUCCAUUCUACCAUGAACUCUACCCCCUGAAAUGGUCUACGAUGAAAAGGAACAAGUCCGGCAAAAAGAAUCACAAAAUGUGAAGUUAUGUGAAGUUUGAAGAGAAAAAGUGUCCAGAAAAUUUAAUGCUGGAGCCAAGGUUUGUGCUGAAAGAGGAGGAGAUCAAGGAGAGGCCUGACUAAGGGAGAGGUGCCCUUAGGGUGAAACCUCACCAACAAAGCUUCCUUCCGGUUUGUGAAAGAAGAGGCCCGAGAAAUUUUUGACUCGUACAAAACAACAACAAAGGAAAGAUGCAGGCUCCAUCUCUAGCAGGUAUUGUCCUCCAUAUCUGGCUGUAGACUCCUGAAGGACAUAUAAGAGAAUUAAUUGACUGUGGAAUCCUCUUCCUUGCUUAAGGGAAGCUGCUAAGACUGGGCACUGUGUGCCUGGGCAGUCUCUGAAUGAAGGCCCUCUGAGGGCAUGAGGCCUUGAAAGGCCAUCGCAUGAAGAUGUGAAAGUGAAGCCUAGAUUGUGUUGGAGACCCCAAGAUAUUGGAGAUACCAGAGCUCUGAGACAUCUGCCAAGGAGAGUUGCAGAGAGUGAGUGGAACCAGCGCAAGGGAGAGAAGAGUGUUGCAGUCAGCAAAUCUGGAAGGGUGGAGUCAGCUAAGACCUCUGACAUCAGACACAGUGCUACAGGUUUGCAGUUUUCCUGCUGGGUUUUGGUCUUACUUUGAUCCAGUAUUUCCUCACCACACCAUUAUUACUCCCUUUUGGAAUGGUUAGUGUCUAUUCUGUGCAUUAAAUGUUGAAAUCAUGAAAGUUGCAUUUUGAUUUUGCAGGGGUUUAUACUUAAGAGAUUGCCUUGAGCCUCAGAAGGGAUUUUGAACUCAAAUUGCUAAACAGUGUUGAGACUGAAAGACUAUGAGGAAUUUUGAAAUUGGACUAA